rnacentral:rRNA from 1 species
AUUGAACGCUGGCGGCAUGCCUUACACAUGCAAGUCGAACGGCAGCGGGGGAGAAGCUUGCUUUUCCUGCCGGCGAGUGGCGAACGGGUGAGUAAUACAUCGGAACGUGCCCUGUAGUGGGGGAUAACUAGUCGAAAGAUUAGCUAAUACCGCAUACGACCUGAGGGUGAAAGUGGGGGACCGCAAGGCCUCAUGCUAUAGGAGCGGCCGAUGUCAGAUUAGCUAGUUGGUGGGGUAAAGGCCUACCAAGGCGACGAUCAGUAGCUGGCCUGAGAGGACGAUCAGCCACACUGGGACUGAGACACGGCCCAGACUCCUACGGGAGGCAGCAGUGGGGAAUUUUGGACAAUGGGCGAAAGCCUGAUCCAGCAAUGCCGCGUGUGUGAAGAAGGCCUUCGGGUUGUAAAGCACUUUUGUCCGGAAAGAAAUGGCUCUGGUUAAUACCUGGGGUCGAUGACGGUACCGGAAGAAUAAGGACCGGCUAACUACGUGCCAGCCGCCGCGGUAA